AAUGCUAUUGAAAAAUCGCCACAAUAAUAGGGAUUUUCCGGUGUAGAAUGAUUGCUCUCACAGGAUUUAUUGGUGGAGACCGCGACAGAGCAGGAUGGCUCAGUCAGUAAUAUCACCGUGCAGCCCACAGUUUUUCAGGCAUUGACACUAGCAGUACGUAAAGCGAGUCAAUCUAUAUGCAGUUAAGAAGAAAACGAUAAUAGAAGAUCCUUGCUUUGCCCCCAGAAGCAUGGCAAUACAGUCGAAGAAAAAUUAUAAUCAUCACAAUGUAUGUGAUGUAACACGUUUUAUAAUUUAUUUAUCAUUGAU